rnacentral:lncRNA from 1 species
AGCUUGUUAAUAUGAUAGUUGAUGGACAUAAUUAUGUUUAUAUGAUUAAUUACUUUGGGAUUUUGUGUUUUACAUGUAUGGUUAGUUGUAAACUGAUCUCUAUGGAAUGGAUUUGUUUACUUCUAAACUUUCUCAAGUAGAGGAAUUCCUAUAAGAUAGGAAUAUUAGUUUAUACUUUCUUAAAGUUCAUAAGAGUUAGUAUAUUGGUUAGUUUAGUUGAUUCAACCCUAGCUCUGCAGAAGAUUAAAAGUUUAUUGGGAUGUUAUUUAUAGCUAAUUCUUCUUAUCUAGUUAUCCAAUCUUAUUUUAGAAUCUUGCUAUUAUGAAGGUGACAGUAGCAAUGAUAGAUAAGUGAGCAAGAGUUUCUACAUCGUUAAGCGUAUCAGGUGGGCUUUCUAAACUCAUAAUUUGAAGUGCGCACUAUUUAAUUAUGUUAUUAUAUGAAUGAAGUUAUAUUAAAGUUAUUGACUUGCCAAAACUUUUAUGAGCUUGUAUGUUACCAUCUACGAGAGAUAGACGAUAUCGGCCCUAUGCUGAAGCGAGAUGUCAGUAAGGGUUUGUGCACAUAGUUGUGACCGUGAGUCAUCGAGCGGGUUGGCCGGUCACUGUGAUCGGGAGCCUUCGGGCCGAUCACUGUGUUUGAGAAGGAGGCCUACUUCUCAACACAAGGUUACAUGAUGCGUAGUUAUGGUACAUACAUGUUAAUUGUCUGCAGACGUAUAUGAUAUUAUGAUGAUAUAUAUAUAGAAGUUUUACAGUUUUGGCGUGCACAGGUUAUUUAAAUAAAACUCCUGUGUGAUGCUUGAGAUGGCAAGUUCAAUAUAUAGCUCUAAGAGCAAACUUUAAAGUUAUUUCGGCAUGUGACCAUUGAGUACCUUUUUAGUACUCAGCCCUGCAUAUGUUUCUAAAUGUGCAGGUUAAGCUGUGAUGCAGAUGGAGGCGAGCAGAGCAAAGCUUUUGAAGUAUAAGUAUUAAAUUAGGCUCAGGAUUUCAUGUCUUCAUACAUGUAAUCCACUUAAGUUAUUCCGCUGCAACACUUAGUGUAUUUUACUUUAUUGAUGUGUUGUACAGAUUUUAAACCAAUAGCUUCGAAAAUUAUGUCACUUGAAAAUUUGACAACUUGUCGUUAUGUAUUGUGAGUUGUCUGCUUUGAGUUUUAGAAAAGAUUGUUUAUGAUUACCAAAUAUUUAGGUAAAUUAUUGUUUAAGCAAGAUGAUUAUUUUUAUUGAAACCUCUUUUAUUUUCCAUUUUCUUUUUCCAUUUCCCCAGUCACAUUUUCCCCGGCUUAACUGUUGUUAGCUUAGGUCGGGCUGUGACAGAGUGGUAUCAGAGCAGGUCAUUUGCUCUGAGCCUAAAUAUCCUUUUGAGUCUAGUCUAAAUUUGAAUCUUUGGACUAGUAUGAGUAAUAUAGUAAAAGCUCUGCUCUCCAUCUCAUCCAGCUUAGCCAGGUACGGAUUUUUCAGAGUUUUAAAGUAGCAUGUUACAUUUUUAAACAAGUUUGAGAUAUGAGUUGCAGUUUUGCAAGUAUUAGUAUGAUGGAAACUUAUAUAUUUUAAAAUGAGCAUGGACAACAUGAGUUAUUUUUGAGUAUCCUCUGCCUAUACGAACUUUUGGAUUUGAAUGGAUAAAAGUGUUAUUCAUAUAUUAAUAUUUAUAUUUUGAUAUGUGGAUGGAGAUAUAGACAGUUUGAUGAUACAAUAAUGAUGUAUAUCAGUCGCGAUGUAACCUAGUACUAGUAGUGAUGUUAUACAGUUAGGGCACCACAAUUAGUACUAAGAGCUUUUUGCAACAUAUAUUCCUAUCUUUCGUAUGAGAACUCAUUGAGGCAAAUUUUCCCAUGAUAUGAAACGACCGAAGUAGUCAUUUACUAGGUUGUUGAGCUUUAAUUGCUUAGAUGAUUGAAAUUUUGUGUAUGAGUUUUAUACUUUAGUUGGUUUAUAGUUAUGUAGCAGUUUGACUUUACGGAUGGAAUAAAAGCUCAAUUAUGGGGAUUUUGUGUAUUUACUCGGCAUGAUAUCUCAAAGAAGAAAUGGAAAUUUGCCAUCCGCCAUGUGAAUAAUUUAGAGGAAAGUUUUUCAUCAUCAAGAUCCCCCUAUUCAUAGUAGAGUUUCACGAGUUUCGCUUCCUUAGAUGCAAUGAUCAAGAGCGCCUUCUUGUAUGUUAUUUCAACUACAAGGAUCGACUGAUUCUUAGUGGGAGACGAAGCAGAAGAUACAUACCCUCGAGCGAUUAGAGAAUCUUAUUUGGGGCCACGUCACAGAAGUUUCUAUGAAGAACAUGUUCCCAGAAGCUACCAUAAGCAAAUGAAGAUGAUCGUGGUUGAAUAUGAUUGAGAGUUUUGAGACAUAUCUCGAUAUACGCCUUAUAAGGUUGAAACAUAGAGUAGUUGUAACUUUUGAUAGAGUUUUGAUGUAGUGCCUUUACUUGUUGGCAAACCAAAUAUUCUUUCAGCUAUUGCAAGCCAAACAUUCCUUCAACUAAUGAAGAUAUCUCUUUUCCAUUUCAUCCCUCCCACCAAAAGUUUUGUUUGAAAUCUUGAUAUAAUUUAGUGCUUCUGUGGUGGGCAGUAUAUAGCGUAUCAUGAGCUUUACUCGUGAUUUUAUUUCUCAACUGUUCAGUAUUGGGUACACAACUUUUCUCAAACAUGAUAGCAGUACCCCUAGCUUUUUGGCAAGUAUUGACCCCUUCUAUCAAAAUCCUUACCCAUAAUUUUUCUCCUUUUUAUUUUCCCCAUGUACUUUAACAAUUCUUCUUCUCAAAUCAAAAAUCAUUGUUAACAUUGCAAUUACAGCUUCUCUUGUUUGCUGUGGUAGAACCAUUUGUAAAUCCAACUUUCAAAUCCUUGAUGAGAAUUUUUCUUCAUGGGUAAGGAGAAAUCCUUAGUAAACUUGAGUUUUUCUACUCAAGGCAUCCACUACUAUAUUGGCUUUGCGUGGGUGAUAAUUUAUUCUACAAUCAUAGUCCCUUACUAAUUCGAGCUAUAUUCCUUGUCUCACACUUAGAUCUUUUGCUCGAAUAAGUAUUUUAAACUUUUAUGAGGUGUAUCAAUUCCACAUCUCGUUUCAGAAUACCAUUGUUGCUAGUUCCAAGUUAUGUUGAGCAAUUCAGUUCUUGUGGUCUAUGUUCUCAUGACCCAAUAACAAUAACUCUUUCACUUUGCAACAAUGCACAACCAAGUCCAUCUUUGAUACACAGGACCAAUUUUAUAUGGUCUUUCAACUUUGAGAAUUCGGCCAUAUUUUAAAAUAGCCUUUCAUCCAACAACAGAUGAGCAAUUUGAGAGAAAUCUUUAAACCUUAGAAGAUGUGACAUAGACUAUUGUACUAGAGCGAAGAAGUGGCGACCUUAGCAGUAGGGACACUGGCGAUCGUAAGAAAUUCUGGGUUCCAAAACUCUCUUUCCAAAAAUGAUUUUUCAGAAGGAGCGAAUUCCCCGCAAACAAGGCAGGAGACGACUAUCUCAAGGUGCAUCACGCGUACUCAGAAGCCGCAUUAUGCACUAGCUUGAAGGAUGAAUUGGGAAAACCUUUUGCUAGUAAUUGAAUUGGCCUACAAUUAUAGCUUUCGGGCAAUAAUUGAUAUGACACCAUAUGGAGCUUAUUGUGGAAAGAAAUAUUGAUCUCCACUCUAUUGACAUGAGGUAAGUGAAAGAAAAGUAACAGGACCUGAUGCGCUUGAAGAAAUGAUUACGCUUAUCCGACAAAUUCAACAACUGCUCAACGAACCUCAAGAGCGACAGAAAUUUUUUUUUUUUUUUUUUUUAGAUACUCGUUGAUUUGAUUUGAAAUUUUUGAAAUAGGGGAUGAAGUUUUUCUCAGUGUUCCGCAUUCUAAGAAUGCACAAAUUCGAUGUGAAAGAGAAGUAUCUAGCAUUAUUCUCUGACGUAGUCAAAUUUCGAGGACGAAAUUUCUUUAAGGGGGAGAGGAUGUAACACCCAGCAUUUUCACUACAGUAUAUAUAUUAUUUUCUAUUAUCUAAAAGAAGAAAGAGAAGUAGAAUCACUGAGAUGAGAUGAGAUAUUAUUAUAAUACCUUGAGCUUUUAAUUCAAUGAUUGCAUAAUUUGAAUAAUUAAGUAUUCUUGCUUUCUUUAUUAUUUUCAUUCUUGGAAGCAAGUUUAUAAUUCCUAGUUAAAGGGAUUAUUUUAUUAUUUUUCAGAGAUGAGAUUGGUGAUAAAUACGAAAUAUUAUUAGUCGACUUAUUGCUCGGCUAAUUGAAGUGACGGAUGUUAUUUAAUUAUUUAUCUAUGAGUUUUUUUUUUUAAUAGUGAUAGUUUGAGGAAAUUUAGUAUAUGUAUAUAGAAUUGUAUUAUAUUUCAUUGGGUGUAUAAUAAUUUAUUAAUUUAGAUAGCUAUCAAAUACUACUUGAGCUUGGAGCACAAGUUUCGUGAGUCAUAUUAGUGUAGAGAAUUGCUUUUCUAAUUUAUUCUUAUUUUAUUUGAUCUAAUUUUGAGGGCACAAAAUACUUAAGGAAAAGCCAAGUUUCCUCAUAUUAUGUAGAGAAUUGCUUUUCUAAUUUAUUCUUAUUUUUAUUUGAUCUAAUUUUGAGGGCCACAAAAUAAGGCUUAUAGGAAAAGCCAAGUUUUCCUCUUAUUAUUUAUUUCUUCUACAAACCUCAAAUGGGCCGAUCAGUAAGGGAAAUGAGGUUUGAAUUAUAUUGCUCAUUUCUAUAAUUGGAUUUAAAUUUUUAAUGUUUGAGAUAAGCAUUUAUUUAUUGUAAAGUGUAUAUAUUAGUUUGAGGAGAUUCAUUUCCUUUUCUUCUCCCCAAAACAGUCGACCUUCUCCCCUCUCUCUUUAUGGAACCUCAGUUUGAGUUUACUUUCAACCUUCAAGAAGAUUCAGCCGCCGCCUCUGCUCCGACCGUCGUCGGCUGCCGUCGGGUCCAAGUCCGGCGUCUCGUCUGUUCUUCCCUGGUGCCCCUCGCACUACUCUCAUCUUCUCUCAAUUUAGCGAAGAACCCAAAUGAGAAGCCCUAAUUUCAAAAUCCGAAAUCGCCGUCACCCGAGCCCGAAAUUCGGCAAUACAGCAGCCUCCUCUUCAACGUGGUCGAAGUUCUCGCACCGGAAGUCCUCGCCGUUCCCCCUCUUUUUCGAUGUGGAGCCCUAAUUAUUAGAAGAAGGAAAUUACUACUGUCGCGACUGGAAGGCCAACGAACGGCUGAGCUUCGCCCAUCUCUGCCUUGAAUCCAUGCUCGAGAAUGAGAGAAAGGGAAACGAGCUCUAAUUCUUUUCUACUCCCGCCGUCAUGGUUCGGCUGCCACCUCCGCCGUCUGUGGAAGACCGGCGAUUCAGCGGCGCCGCUCCAUUCACGACGCCGCUACUGCUGCUACACGAUCCCCUCCGAGGCAGGAAGCGCUGCUGUCAUCAUCGUCGUCUUGGCUCGACUGAACAGGGUAGCGUCCCUCGUCGUCGAAAAGUUAAGUAUUCUACUUGUUAUUGUAGAAAGUGUUUGAUGUUGCUUGUGAUUUCUGAGUUCAUGCCAUAAUAAUCGAGGCAUAGGUGACUUCUCUCUAAGAUUCCUAAAGUGAGAUAUUAAACAAAAUGUUAUAUGUUUCUAAGUUAGUAAUUACUUUAAAUUAAGUAAAAUGAUGGCAGGAAUCAUAGCUUCAGCCCAAAGCUUCGAUUUUUGACCCUCCCUCAAGAACCCCAGAAUUUCAUCUUCUUUAUAUUUGUAUCAAUUGACUAUGUAUACAUGUCUAUAUGUAUGUGAAGAAUUGAUUGGGAUUUUAUUUGGGUAUUUAUUCACAAGAAAACAUGAUUCCCUAAUAGUUUAGUUUAAGUGGAUUUGGGAGUUCUUGGAAUAAGCUAGCUACAUGUUUGAUGCUUGUGUAAUUGUACUCCUUGAAUUGUAAAAUGAGAUUAUAUGACAAUAGUUGGAGGAUAUCAAGCAUGCUACUAUAUGUUGAUGUGUUGAACAUGAAUUACGUUUAAGCUAAAGCAUGCUAAUGUGUAGUAAGAUGAUGUAUUUGAGUUACUAUAGCUUUUAUUUGAUAAAAAUAUGAGUUAUAUGUUGAGUUGAGAUGAAGAAGGUAUUGCUGUUGGUUUUGCUGUACAGGACAGUACCUUGUAAGGUAUUUUCGGGAGUGUUCCUGUGUUCGAAAUGAUUUGAAAUUUUUACAGUAAUUACUUCAUUAUGAGUAUUAGAUCUCUGCAAAAUUUCAGCUAAAUCCGAGACCAAUAGACAUGUCAAACUAUUUUCUGAAAUGUACUGCACGGAGCAGCAGAGUUCAGUGCAGAUUCUGUCUUUGGUCAUAUAACUUCUUAUCCACUUGAGAUUUUGUGUUUUUGUAAAUUUCUGAGAAAUAUAGACAUCAAUAGCUUUCUAAAAAGGUAAAACUCGUAUUUUUCCUUGAAGCGAUUGAUUUUAUAUGAUUUUCCAAAGUUAGGAUUCAAAUGUGUAUGUGUCUUGAUUAAACUUGUGAUUGGUAGUUAAUUGAGAUCCUACACUACUAAACUUGAAUUAAGGUUUUAUUGUUCUAAUUACCUAUUGAGAAUUAUUGAUUACUAAGCUUGUUAAUAUGAUAGUUGAUGGACAUAAUUAUGCUUAUAUGAUUAAUUACUUUGGGAUUUUGUGUUUUACAUGUAUGGUUAGUUGUAAACUGAUCUCUAUGGAAUGGAUUUGUUUACUUCUAAACUUUCUUAAGUAGAGGAAUUCCUAUAAGAUAGGAAUAUUAGUUUAUACUUUCUUAAAGUUCAUAGAGUUAGUAUAUUGGUUAGUUUAGUUGAUGCAACCCUAGUAGUUUAUUGGGAUGUUAUUUAUAGCUAAUUCUUCUUAUCUAGUUAUCCAAUCUUAUUUUAGAAUCUUGCUAUUAUGAAGGUGACAGUAGCAAUGAUAGAUAAGUGAGCAAGAGUUUCUACAUCGUUAAGCGUAUCAGGUGGGCUUUCUAAACUCAGAAUUUGAAGUGCGCACUAUUUAAUGAUGUUAUUAUAUGAAUGAAGUUAUAUUAAAGUUAUUGACUUGCCAAAUUAUUUUAUGAGCUUGUAUGUUACCAUCUACGAGAGAUAGACGAUAUCGGCCCUAUGCUGAAGCGAGAUGUCAGUAAGGGUUUGUGCACAUAGUUGUGACCGUGAGUCAUCGAGCGGGUUGGCCGGUCACUGUGAUCGGGAGCCUUCGGGCCGAUCACUGUGUUUGAGAAGGAGGCCUACUUCUCAACACAAGGUUACAUGAUGCGUAGUUAUGGUACAUACAUGUUAAUUGUCUGCAGACGUAUAUGAUGUUAUGAUGAUAUAUAUAUAUAUAGAAGUUCUACAGUUUUGGCGUGCACAGGUUUUUUUUAAAUAAAACACAUGUGUGAU